rnacentral:piRNA from 1 species
UUCGCGGUUAUACAUGUUGCU